CAGGCUGGUGUCGAUGGAAGCAU
rnacentral:piRNA from 1 species